UCAACACGGAUGGGGUACUGUGAGGAAUCCAACCUAUCCCCAACAGAUGUACAGGAGUCAGGUGAGUUCUAUCCACUUUUUUUUUACUAUCUUUUCAUGCAAUCAUCCGCUUACACACUAGAAUAAAGUUUUAAUACGCGAAAUUUACAAAUCAAACUGUACAGUUCGUUUAUAAGAGAGACAGAAAAAGUAACAGCGGUGACGCUUAUUGCACCGCUUGCUACAUCGAGGAAUGCGUUGUAAUCGAUCAAAAGCUCACUUAUAUUAAGUAAUGUUUGCUCAAAGAUCGAGAGAGACGCAACGUAAAAUAUCCGUAAUAAUUACUCCCAGAAGAAGGAGGAAGAAAAGGUUAAGAUUCGAUCCAAUGACGCAUUUCGGACAAAAUUAGAUAUUUGUUAGUGCACCCAUAUAUUGUUGGACCCACGUGUCCGACUGAGCAUCUGUGUGGCCUGCAGCAAGGAAAUUUAAAUUUUGGAGGCAAAAAGUGAGGCACAGCUGACAGCUGGGAAUAGCCGAAUCUGAUUGGUUGGAAACGUCUUUCAGAUCCGGAAUUAAUCACGUCUGGCAGGAGGGUAGCUCUAUCUCUUCGUGCCAACAACUUUGAACUGCGGAGAGUUGGGACAGUUCCAUUUCCUCUUGUUCCGCCGAAUGCGGGAGGAGACGGUAGAUCGGGAGGGACACUAACAACUUUGCUUCUCCGUAUUUCGAUCGCUACUCAAACUUUUUUUUUUUAAAAAUAAUUUUUGUCACUCCUCCUGUUUUCUUACGUUUAAAACGUGGUGUCGGGACGGAGUGGCGUAUUUCGUAAUUUUUGUUUUCUUCUCCGAAUAGUACGUUAGUGUAGUUAAACAGAGAAAAACAGAAAAAUUACGAGAUCAAUAUUAAACGAUUUUUUCGGCUUGACGUCACGUUUAUAUGACGUAAAUCGCCAGACGAAAGGACUCGAUAAUAUAAAUUGAGCGAAGGCGUUUCGUUGCGAAGGUUUUUAGUCGAGCAAGUAAAGUCGACCAAACUGGUUGAGCCGGUCUGCAAUCGGCAAGUUCUCUUCCUUCGCAUACAGUUGUCGGUCGGAUGACUGCGCUGUUUAGCCGUGCAUGCAUAGUUUGUUCGCCGCUGGCCCCGUUUUUGGUCGGUUGCUGGCUACCAGACCGUAUACGACUUUGCUUGCAACGAGUUUUCAGGCCGUUUAGGGAAAAAAUAUUUCUCCAGAUAACCUCUGGGUGUUUUGUCUCCAUAUCGGGUUAUUCGGCCAUGUUUCGUCGUCGCGUGCGAUCGUUGUGCGAUCGUCCGACGCUCGCGCUUCGCUACUUUCUGGCGUCGCGGAACGAUUUUUCUUUUUCUUCUUUCUGUUUUAUUAAACUUCAGCAUUGGCCCAAAUAAUGAUAUUUUGUGCAACUGUUCAAUCGAAUUUUAUCAACCGCGAGUGGAUUUGUCACCUCGUAUAUUGAUUUUCCGAACGACAUCUACACAUGCCUACAUAAUAGCGAUCAUUUUUUUUUUUUUUUUUUUCCGGUUUUUGUCAUUCGGUUUGAUUUAUCUGGAAAUUGAAAUACAUAAAGUCCAUACUUGUCAAAAACUCGGAACAUCAGUAUCGAACAAUAGCAAUGGGAAACAUACUGUUUAAAUUAGUAAUUAAGUAGUUAUUAUUAUUAUUAUUACGCCCCUCCGCGUAUACGCUUUUAUAUAUUCUAGGUUCCUGUUUUGUUAACUUCAAAAUUUGUUUCUCAAAAAUUGUCGGAAGUCGUGCUGCGAGAGAAGAAAAUAGGAGGAAAAAAAAAAAACGCUUGUUGCAGCACCGCUCUUUUUCCCUAAAGGGAAUUGGUUUGAAGUUGUAGUAAAGGGCAUGCCGUAAACAGGAAGUUGAUUUCUGGCUGACGUCACACCGACACGUGGGACACCUGUUGCUACAGAAGGGCGGCGAUCGGUCAGAUGUUAUUAAUUGCAGACGGCCGAUCGCUCUCCUAAUGUUGAUAUGUCGUGACGUCAGUCGGGGCAAUAGGCCAACGUAAUCUCCGUUCGCCGUCUUUCCCUAUGUUAAUUAACCUCGUGAUCGGGUGCCGGCCGUCUUUCAUUCACAACACGUGCAGGGGUGAAAGGGGGAAUGCAAUUCAUUCAUUCAUGCGAAUCAAACAGACAAACACGGGUGUGGGGUUGCGAGUUGAUCUACUUUUUUUUUUUCUUCUUCUUCUUUUCUGUCUCUCUUUGUUGCUCUUAACCUUGAUCGUGCCCUUUACGAAUCCCCCCUCUUAAACACGUUGUCAACAUAAGCAUGCCACGUGUUCGGGAGUGUCACAUCUGGCACGAUGCACCUUAACUGAAUACCGAUGCAAAUUUUUUAUUUAUUUUUUUAUCUAUUCACAGAAAUUGAAUUUCGAACUCAAAUGGGAAUCAGUGUUCAAUUUUAUAAUUCAGAUACAUGUUAUGUGAUAUUUAUUUUACAUAUUUGAACAUUUCUCAUAAUUCUGAUGAUAAAUUUAUCAAAAAAUGUAAUAUUAUAUUUUGCCUUGCCCUGAUUAUGGAGUUCAUGUUUGAUAGAGUGCAAAUAACUUUAUAUUAUCGAUUAUAGGCUAAUGUUUAUUUUCAUUUUGCGAC
rnacentral:lncRNA from 1 species